rnacentral:rRNA from 1 species
UUGGGAAAACUGAUAAACCCAGAGGCGAAAUGAAAGUGAAAGGCCGGCCUCGAGCCGGUCGCAGGGAAGAUGCGCGGGCGUCGUCAGACGCCCCGCCGCAUUCCCGAGGCGUUUCGAGAAAGCCCCCGUGCGAUUAUCGAGACGCACUGAGAGCGUACACGCUGGGACCCGAAAGAUGGUGAACUAUGCCUGGUCAGGUCGAAGUCAGGGGAAACCCUGAUGGAGGACCGAAGCGAUUCUGACGUGCAAAUCGAUCGUCCGAACUGGGUAUAGGGGCGAAAGACUAAUCGAACUAUCUAAUAGCUGGUUCCAUCCGAAGUUUCCCUCAGGAUAGCUGGCGCUCGAGAAACAUGACGGUCCUCGGAUCGCCAUUCGCACAGUCUCAUCCGGUAAAGCGAAUGAUUAGAGGCAUUGGGGCCGAAAUGGCCUCAACCUAUUCUCAAACUUUAAAUGGGUGAGAUCUCCUUCUUGCUCGAAGAUGAAGUAGGAGCUCGGAUGGGAGUGCCAAGUGGGCCAAUUUUGGUAAGCAGAACUGGCGCUGUGGGAUGAACCAAACGUCGAGUUAAGGCGCCCAAUGAACGCUCAUCGGAUACCAUAAAAGGCGUUGGUCGCUCAGGACAGCAGGACGGUGGCCAUGGAAGUCGGA